UCUUCCUACGGACGCAGCAGUGAGGAAUAUUGGUCAAUGGGCGGGAGCCUGAACCAGCCAAGUCGCGUGAGGGAAGACGGUCCUACGGAUUGUAAACCUCUUUUGCCGGGGAGCAACGGGGUCCUUGCGAGGGCCCAAUGAGAGUACCCGGAGAAAAAGCAUCGGCUAACUCCGUGCCAGCAGCCGCGGUAAUACGGAGGAUGCGGGCGUUAUCCGGAUUUAUUGGGUUUAAAGGGGGCGUAGGCGGGCUGUUAAGUCAGCGGUCAAAUGUCGGGGCUCAACCCCGGCCUUCCGUUGAAACUGGG
rnacentral:rRNA from 1 species